rnacentral:rRNA from 1 species
CCUACGGGGGGCAGCAGUGAGGAAUAUUGGUCAAUGGGCGCGAGCCUGAACCAGCCAAGUCGCGUGAGGGAUGAAGGAUCUAUGGUUCGUAAACCUCUUUUAUAAGGGAAUAAAGUGCGGGACGCGUCCCGCUUCGCAUGUACCUUAUGAAUAAGCAUCGGCUAACUCCGUGCCAGCAGCCGCGGUAAUACGGAGGAUGCGAGCGUUAUCCGGAUUUAUUGGGUUUAAAGGGUGCGUAGGCGGUAUUUUAAGUUAGUGGUAAAACGUCGGGGCUUCACCUUGAUUGGCCAUUAAAACUGGAGUAC